rnacentral:rRNA from 1 species
GACGAACGCUGGCGGCGUGCUUAACACAUGCAAGUCGAACGGUAAGGCCCUUCGGGGUACACGAGUGGCGAACGGGUGAGUAACACGUGGGUGAUCUGCCCUGCACUUCGGGAUAAGCCUGGGAAACUGGGUCUAAUACCGGAUAGGACCACUGCCUGCAUGGGUGGUGGUGGAAAGCUUUUGCGGGGUGGGAUGGGCCCGCGGCCUAUCAGCUUGUUGGUGGGGUGAUGGCCUACCAAGGGGACGACGGGUAGCCGGCCUGAGAGGGUGACCGGCCAAACUGGGACUGAGAGACGGCCCAGACUCCUACGGGAGGCAGCAGUGGGGAAUAUUGCACAAUGGGCGCAAGCCUGAUGCAGCGACGCCGCGUGAGGGAUGACGGCCUUCGGGUUGUAAACCUCUUUCAGCAUCGACGAAGCGAAAGUGACGGUAGGUGCAGAAGAAGGACCGGCCAACUACGUGCCAGCCGCCGCAGUAA